UUGGGAUGUGUAUAUUAUAAGGGCUAGUAUUAUAUUGAUUUAAUUGAUUCUCUCUAUUUUUGCUGUAAGUUUUAUAAUUCCUUAUCAUCCCAAGGGGGUUCAGAAAACGAUCAGAAGCAUUCUAAAUUAAAAUUUCAUUUAUCAUGCCCAUUAAACGUCCCUGUUUGAUAAGUUUUACUAAAUAUAACACUAGAGUCUGUCAAGUUUUAUAAGUCAAUCUUAAGAUUUAAAAUGAUUCUCUGCAUUAUAUCUCCUCGAAGAAACCAUCAAUUUUUCCUCAAAGAAACCGGCUUAAGUUAAAUAGUAAUAAAUUAAACACCAAGUGACAGGUCUCAAAUAUAUUGAAUAUAAGGUCAAAGGCUUACACGUGUUUCGCCUAUACUACGCAUCAUCAGAUCUUCUUAAAUAUUCACUAAUAAAAAGAAAAACCAAAAGCAACACUACAUGUUACAAGUCCAGGGUAAAAAACAAUAAAAUAGGACGGAGACUAGAUUGAAUGCACGGAAAUAAUCAACUAAUUUAUUAAGACACAUUACAUUACGAAACACGUCUACUUACGACUACUAGAAAUAAUAAUUUUUACUGUAUUUAUAUAUGUCUGAUUUAAAUCUCGCGCCAAUAUUCCGAACUUUACUUCACUUAACUGUCAACCGACUCCCAGCGGUGACGCGGCUCCUUAUAUACUUGGCUGACCAUGAUUCCGGAAUGACGGAAAAUCCGCUGGUUUCUCGGUGUUUACAAUAUCGUUACAAUAUGAACUAAAAUUUUGUUUUGUUAUCUAUUAAUAUUAUCAUUAUCUAUUUAUUAUAUUUUCUUGUGAUUAAAGUGAUAAGAUGUCUGAAAGAUACAAACAAUCAUCAUGGUCCUCCACCGAAAAAAAUUCAAAAUUCACCAUUGGCAUCAUCGGUCUUUUUCUGGAACUGCUGGUCUUCCUCCAUUACAACACUUUCAUCGGAUGGACGAACCAUUUCCACAUAUUCAGGGUCCUUUGCAGGAUAUUGGGAUGCACCUGUCUCCUGUUGGAUGGAAAAGCGGAAUUUUUUGGAAUCGCUUACGUCAUCAUGACCUUAUCCUGGACAGUUGAGUGGAUAUAUCGGAAACUCGCAUCCAUUUAACAUAACCUGAAGUGUAUAAUUAUAAAUAACUAUAUUGUGAUAUUUACUAAUUUAUUGUAAAUAAUAGGUUAAUACAGUGUGGCCCAAUGACAAAUCUGUGUGUUUUCGAAUAAAAGUAAUAUUUUUUUUUACAAGCGA